AUAUACAAAAUAUUCUAACAAAGAAAAUAGGCGAUGCGUUCAUUCAACCCUUUCAUUUUCUCUCUUCAUAAACCACGGUGAUUCCUAUAUUUUCCCCUCAAUUUCCCCUAAUUUCUAUCAUAUUUCUCACAAUUUCUUACUAAUUUUUCUAAAAUUCUUCAACAAAUUCGUGAAUUGCUAAGAACAUCGUAGUUGUUGAUUACAUCUUCAACAAGUUUAUCCUGUGGUGAAGGGUCCCAGACUUUACUCCGACAUCGGCAAAAGAGCUAGAGAUCUUAUGUGCAAGGAUUAUCAGAGUGACCACAAGUUCACCCUUACCACUUACACUACAAGUUCAAUUGAUGGACGCCGCCACUUGGGUACGGUGCUGAUGCGCAAGGUCAAUUUCUAGGUGAAGAACGAGUACGAUAUGAUCCAAAAUUACAUAAGGUUCUUCAAGAUGUCUUCAAUAAGCUUAAGAUUACUAAGCUUAGGACGCAAUCGGGUCAAAGAAAAAUUACUCUCAAAUCUUCAAAAACAAAGCUUUUUAAUGGGUGCUACCUCCAACAAUUGAAGAUUUGAAUUCAGAAUAAUCCUAUAAUGUUAGUUAUAUGUUGAAAGUCAAUUGAGCAGAAAACAUGUGAUUAACCAAGUACAUUGGGAGUACUUGAGCAGAAAACGAGUUUUAUUUUAUUCGAUUUGUUAUGUAUUUGAUAGAUUCAGAUUUCUUUUGUAGAUGUGGUAUGACUUUUUAUUAAUGAAUUAAUUUUAUUUCAAAAAAACCAAGUACAUUGGGAGAAAAGAAGAAGUGAAACACACUAUUUAUAUGUUAAGUUUCUUUACUUUAGUACUACAAUUUUGAUUUUUCGUCAUAUAAUAUGUACAUUACAUUGUUUAACUAUGUAAAUGCUUUUAACUAGAGAUUAUAUCUAAUUUUUCUUUA